rnacentral:rRNA from 1 species
CUUUACUGAGUGUCGUGGCGGGCCGGCACGUUUACUUUGAACAAAUUAGAGUGCUAAAAGCAGGCCUCAUGCCUGAAUAUUGUGUGCAUGGAAUAAUAGAAUAGGACCUCGGUUCUAUUUUGUUGGUUUUCUGGACCAGAGGUAAUGAUUAAGAGGAACGGACGGGGGCAUUCGUAUUGAGACGUUAGAGGUGAAAUUCUUGGAUCGUCUCAAGACGGACAGAAGCGAAAGCAUUUGCCAAGAACGUUUUCAUUAAUCAAGAACGAAAGUUAGAGGUUCGAAGGCGAUCAGAUACCGCCCUAGUUCUAACCAUAAACGAUGCCAGCCAGCGAUCCGCCAAAGUUCCUCCGAUGACUUGGCGGGCAGCUUCCGGGAAACCAAAGCUUUUGGGUUCCGGGGGAAGUAUGGUUGCAAAGCUGAAACUUAAAGGAAUUGACGGAAGGGCACCACCAGGAGUGGAGCCUGCGGCUUAAUUUGACUCAACACGGGAAACCUCACCAGGUCCGGACACCGGAAGGAUUGACAGAUUAAGAGCUCUUUCUUGAUUCGGUGGGUGGUGGUGCAUGGCCGUUCUUAGUUGGUGGAACGAUUUGUCUGGUUAAUUCCGAUAACGAACGAGACUCUAGCCUGCUAACUAGCCGUUUCCGGCAUCAUAUGCUGCCGGCGGCAUUAAAAUCUUCUUAGAGGGACAGGCGGCUUCUAGCCGCACGAGAUUGAGCAAUAACAGGUCUGUGAUGCCCUUAGAUGUCCUGGGCCGCACGCGCGCUACAAUGAAGGUAUCAACGUGUCUUCCCAGGCCGAACGGUCCGGGUAACCCGCUGAACCACCUUCGUGCUAGGGAUUGGGGCUUGCAAUUGCUCCCCAUGAACGAGGAAUUCCCAGUAAGCGCGAGUCAUAAGCUCGUGUUGAUUACGUCCCUGCCCUUUGUACACACCGCCCGUCGCUACUACCGAUUGAAUGAUUUAGUGAGGUCUUCAGACUGGUGCGCGAUAGCAUUAUUUAUGGUGCUGCCGAUGCUACUGGAAAGAUGACCAAACUUGAUCAUUUAGAGGAAGUAAAAGUCGUAAC